GUGCUUGCUUUGGCAACACAUAGAAUAAAAUUGGAACAACACAGAGAAGAUUAGCAUGGCCCUGUACAAGGAUGACCUGCAAAUUUGUGAAGCAUUCCCUAUUUUU